AUUGAUUAUUUUGAUAAGCAACAUAGUGAACAAUUACAUUCCAAAUCCUGAACAUUGCUAUAUUAGAAAGUGGACUUCACAGUAUACGUCCUGAUAACAAAUGUAAAACCACUGCCACAGUAAACUCUACCAACACAUGGUUUCCUGGAUGGUUCAUUGCAUAAACUUACAGCACGAGGGCCAGUUUGAUCGUUUGUAUCUCCUAAACCAAGCUGACCGUGUUCACCCCAACCCCAUGUCAUUACUGAUCCGUCAUCUGUUACCACGGCAGAAUGCUCAGCUCCUGCACCAAUUUGGACAACCUUUGUACUAUUGAAGUCGAGGACUCUUUGCAGGACACCUUCAUCUUCAGAUAUAUGAUUCAUCCCAUUGGCUUUUUGAGCACCGGUAGGAACAUUAUAAUUGUACCUGCCAAGCAUGUAUACUUCCCCAUCACCUGUCAAUACAAGAGCAUGGUUCCACCCUAAAG
rnacentral:misc_RNA from 1 species